AGAGUUUGAUCCUGGCUUAGGAUGAACGCUAGCGGCAGGCUUAACACAUGCAAGUCGAGGGGCAGCGCGGGGUAGCAAUACUCUGGCGGCGACCGGCGAAAGGGUGAGUAACGCGUGAGCAACAUGCCCGGUACCGGGGGAUAGUCGAUGGAAACGUCGUGUAAUACCCCGUAACAACAGAGGCCGCAUGACCUUUGCUUAAGAGAUUUAUCGCUACCGGAUUGGCUCGCGUCCCAUUAGGCAGUUGGCGGGGUAACGGCCCACCAAACCGACGAUGGGUAGGGGUUCUGAGAGGAAGGUCCCCCACAUUGGAACUGAGACACGGUCCAGACUCCUACGGGAGGCAGCAGUGAGGAAUAUUGGACAAUGGCCGAGAGGCUGAUCCAGCCAUGCCGCGUGCGGGAGGACGGCCCUUAAGUGGGUUGUAAACCGCUUUUGUUGGAGAGCAAUAAGGUCCACGUGUGGAUUGAUGAGAGUAUCCAGCGAAUAAGCAUCGGCUAACUCCGUGCCAGCAGCAGC
rnacentral:rRNA from 1 species